GAAUUUUAGGGUUUUUGCCUGAAAUAUCUUCUAGCACCUUCACCUCCAGUGGUUCCAGGAGUUCGUCUGCCUCAGUCUCUCAGAACCCUCAUACCGUAGAUGAACCCAUAACUAGGGCUGGACCUCGUCCGAUUUUUGCGCCGGACGCCAUUCCCUGUUCUCUGACUCCGGACGAACUCCUACUAAUAAGGGUUCAGUAUGGAGUUCCUCCAGAGUAUGAUCUGGAGCUUCCUGGUCCAGCCGACCGGGCUAGCACUUCCCCACUUGGUCGUUUCUGUUUGUACCAGGAGGUCUUUCGUGCUGGACUCCGGCUCUCGC
rnacentral:lncRNA from 1 species